UACGGAGGAUCCGAGCGUUACCCGGAUUUAUUGGGUUUAAAGGGUGCGUAGGCGGCCUAUUAAGUCAGGGGUGAAAGACGGUAGCUUAACUAUCGCAGUGCCUUUGAUACUGAUAGGCUUGAAUGUACUUGAGGUAGGCGGAAUGUGACAAGUAGCGGUGAAAUGCAUAGAUAUGUCACAGAACACCAAUUGCGAAGGCAGCUUACUAAAGUAUGAUUGACGCUGAGGCACGAAAGCGUGGGGAUCAAACAGG
rnacentral:rRNA from 1 species